GACGAACGCUGGCGGCGUGCUUAACACAUGCAAGUCGAACGGAAAGGCCUGCUUUCCCUUGUGGAUUGCGGGUACUCGAGUGGCGAACGGGUGAGUAACACGUGAGUGAUCUGCCCCCAACUUGGGUAUAAGCCUGGGAAACUGGGUCUAAUUCCCGAUAGGACUGCAGGGUGGUGCCUGUGGUGGAAAACGAUUUUCUAGUGGUUGGGGAUGAGCUCGCGGCCUAUCAGCUUGUUGGUGGGGUAAUGGCCUACCAAGGCGGCGACGGGUAGCCGGGCUGAGAGGGUGGACGGCCACAGUGGGACUGAGAUACGGCCCAGACUCCUACGGGAGGCAGCAGUGGGGAAUAUUGCACGAUGUGCGGAAGCCUGAUGCAGCGACGCCGCGUGGGGGAUGACGGCCUUCGGGUUGUAAACUCCUUUCGACCGCGAGGAAGCCACCUGGUUGGAAGGGUGGUGACGGUAGUGGUAGAAGAAGCACCGGCUAACUACGUG
rnacentral:rRNA from 1 species